rnacentral:tRNA from 1 species
GGGGUUGUGGCUCAGUGGUCGAGCAUCUGCUGGGCAUGCAGAAGGUUCCAAAGUCAAUCCCUGGUAUCUCCA